CCGAGCGCCGGGCGGGCCUCGCACCCCGCCCGGGACGCGCCGGGGAGCUGGCGAAGGUCCAGUGUGGCCGGGGUUCGGCCCUCGGUGGCCGGCACUCGAGGCCCGGGCCGCCACCUACCCAGUUACCUGUGGUCAACCUCCUGGAAUAGAUGACCUUCCUUUUGAGAUACAGGCAGAAAGUCAGUAGCUUCUUCUCAAGGCACACCUCAUUCUCCUCACUUCAUCUCAUCAGGAACUACGUGAUGUGGAGUAAAGGUGUCCUACCUGGGCUGGGCAGCCCCUCAGGAGAGUUUGCUUCCAAAACACCGUCCGA